UACGUAGGGUGCAAGCGUUGUCCGGAAUUAUUGGGCGUAAAGAGCUCGUAGGCGGUCUGUCGCGUCGGCUGUGAAAACCCGGAGCUCAACUCCGGGCCUGCAGUCGAUACGGGCAAACUGGAGUGUUGCAGGGGAGACUGGAAUUCCUGGUGUAGCGGUGAAAUGCGCAGAUAUCAGGAGGAACACCGAUUGCGAAGGCAGCUCGCUGGGACGUCACUGACGCUGAGGCGCGAAAGCGUGGGGAGCAAACAGG
rnacentral:rRNA from 1 species